rnacentral:lncRNA from 1 species
GGUGUCACCUGCCUUUUGGGGAACCCUCCGGCUUUUGGGGGACCCCCAUGAGGUGUCACCUGCCUUUCGGGGGACCCUCUGGCUUUUGGGGGACCCCCCGUGAGGUGUCACCUGCCUUUUGGGGGACCCUCCUGGCUUUUGGGGGACCCCCAAGACUUUGGGACACCCCCAAGCUUUGGGGGACCCCCCCCAGCUUUCCAGCAAGAACCAGCUCUUGGGUGAACCCCCAAAGCCCCCCCUUUGCUUUCGGGGGCCCCCCCCAAAAUUUGGGGGGUGACCUCCAGCUUUCCAGUGCCCCCAGCACUUGGGGGUCACCCCCAAAAUUAUGGGGGAACCCCCCAAUUCUCCCCUUCUUUGGGGGGGGCCCCUCCCUUUCCCCAGGCUGCCAAAUUUGGGGGGGCUCCCCGGAACCCCCCCAAUUUUUUAAUCCCUUCUCACCUUUUUUAUGUGUUUUUAAAGUCAAAAGCUUUUUUUGGGGGGGGGCCCCCCAAAUUUGGGGGUGGGGGAAGGACUAGGCGAAGGUGCAGGCAGAUUUGGGGGGGCCCCUGGCCGGGGCCGACUGUCACUUUAAGGGGGGUCAGUGCAAUGGGGAGGCACCCCGAUAUUUUAAGGGGGGGCCCCCUCGGUUUGGGGGUGCC